rnacentral:rRNA from 1 species
UGGGAACCUUUCCUAUGGUUCGGAAUAGCUCAGGGAAACUUGAGGUAAUACCGGAUAAGCCCUUCGGGGAAAGAUUUAUCGCCAUUGGAUGGGCCCGCGUCGGAUUAGCUAGUUGGUGGGGUAACGGCUCACCAAGGCAACGAUCCGUAGCUGGUCUGAGAGGAUGAUCAGCCACACUGGGACUGAGACACGGCCCAGACUCCUACGGGAGGCAG